rnacentral:rRNA from 1 species
AAGGCCUUUCGGGGUACACGAGCGGCGAACGGGUGAGUAACACGUGGGUGAUCUGCCCUGCACUUCGGGAUAAGCCUGGGAAACUGGGUCUAAUACCGGAUAUGACCUCCUAUCGCAUGGUGGGUGGUGGAAAGAUUUAUCGGUGCAGGAUGGGCCCGCGGCCUAUCAGCUUGUUGGUGGGGUAAUGGCCUACCAAGGCGACGACGGGUAGCCGACCUGAGAGGGUGACCGGCCACACUGGGACUGAGACACGGCCCAGACUCCUACGGGAGGCAGCAGUGGGGAAUAUUGCACAAUGGGCGAAAGCCUGAUGCAGCGACGCCGCGUGAGGGAUGACGGCCUUCGGGUUGUAAACCUCUUUCAGCAGGGACGAAGCGCAAGUGACGGUACCUGCAGAAGAAGCACCGGCUAACUACGUGCCAGCAGCCGCGGUAAUACGUAGGGUGCAAGCGUUGUCCGGAAUUACUGGGCGUAAAGAGUUCGUAGGCGGUUUGUCGCGUCGUUUGUGAAAACCAGCAGCUCAACUGCUGGCUUGCAGGCGAUACGGGCAGACUUGAGUACUGCAGGGGAGACUGGAAUUCCUGGUGUAGCGGUGAAAUGCGCAGAUAUCAGGAGGAACACCGGUGGCGAAGGCGGGUCUCUGGGCAGUAACUGACGCUGAGGAACGAAAGCGUGGGUAGCGAACAGGAUUAGAUACCCUGGUAGUCCACGCCGUAAACGGUGGGCGCUAGGUGUGGGUU